CCUGAAUUCCCAAUUCAUCAAGCAUUGCAGAUAUCGCGUUCCUAAUCGUUAAGGUCUCGGUAAAAAGGCUAACACAAGAGAAAACAAUGAGAAAAUGAUGCUUAUCGAUUCCUUUGAUGCCAUGUUGACAUGAUUCCAUAUAAAACUAAUCAAUCAUUGACACUGAAGUAGUUCCUAUAAACGAACCGUGGCCGCUUAAGUAGGCUAGCUGCAUCUCAGAGGACAAUUACUCAAAGAUUGACCUGGGGCUUCACUUUCAUUACUUCUUUCACAACGAGGGAACCGCGCCGCAUCAGUCGAUGUGGUGGAACGCCCUCCUGAGUCAAAGAUAGAGCUUUUGCUCCUCUCUUCAAGAGAGAUGCUUCGGUAUCUGAAUCGGCUGAAGGAGAGUGAAGAGGCAGCUACUCUCCCAGCCCACGGGUAGCCUCUUCUUUCUGGUCUACAUCAAGUGCAUUGAAUGCCCCAUAAUCAGAAUCAAAGAGGAUAGGUCAAGGAGAUGUUCGGGACGAAACCUGAGUGGAUCUGAGGCAAAGCGGAGCCUCCGGAGGUACGGCGGCUUGUGCUGUGCCGUCAUUUCGGAUUCCCGACUGAUUUCGGCACUAGUUAAAUGGGGAAAAUCACCCGGAUCUUGAAUCAACUAGUAGAUCAUCAACACAGGGUCCCAAUUCAUUUGGCGACCGCGAAGUCACCGAAUGAACUGCCGAGCUGGGACAGCCCGUGCGUGACCCAUACGAAUCCUACAGUCAUUCUUAUCUUUUGAAAAAUGGACAGAAAUUAGUUUCUUCCACUCCUCACCCAAAAUACAAUACAUUAUACCCUAAUAGAAGCAAUACAUGUGCACAUUGUACAAAAUCAACUUUCAAGGGUAACCAAAGUCGGGAACCAUAAACAGAACAAUUUGGGCGAUGCUAUGGCAGGCAUUUGUUCUAAUAAGAAAGCAUUAUAUAAAUCUAAUUAAAAAUCUAUGGUAGGCUGCCGAGUAGAAGAAAGAAAAACUGAAUUUACUUCCUGCAAAAGUUUAGUAAGAUGUGGGAUACAAUUUAAACCUUACUUUAAAGACAAUUUCCAGGGUAGAGGACAGCAUUAUAGUAUUGUGCCAAAAGCAAGCUAAUGCAUAUGAGUGAUGCAGCAUCAGGUGGCUAAAAUAAUUACAUCCUCACCGGUUUCAACAUAUCAGAUCAGACAUCCUGGAUAUCUACCUUCCCUUGAUACACACUUAACAGUUCAGGUACUUUGCCAAGAUAUCCGUUCACAAAACUCUCCAAGAACUGCUUCUCUGCCGGUUUCAGCAGAGAACCCAGAUUCAAGUUCCCAUUUAUGAAACCUUUCGACAACAGAACUUUAACAACAGAGCACCUUGGGAUAAGUCUCUUCUCUAUACUGAGACCGAGGACCACAGGAUAUUUGGCAAUCAUUCCUGACGACCAUCCCAUCUUGUUCACUAAAAGAUCCAUUGCUUGCAUAAGUUUCUUCUCCGAGACAAUCAUAGACAGCGGGUUCUUCCUGAAAGCGGAGAGAAAAUCAUCCUCAGACCAACCCCAUGUCUUAAGAACUUCACGACUUCUAUUCAAUACCAACUUAUUCUUACCACACAAUGCACACAGGGCAUUCACUGAAGUUGAUUUUUCCAGAUUAAAUCCCAUUUCCUUAACCUCACCCACAAGUUGACCAAAUUUUUCAGGAUUUACCAUCAAAGAGGGAGUACAGUGAGCUAACAACAAAGAAAUGCAUGGUUGAGGCAUACCCGAUUCUCUCAAAAGCCCAAUAUUUGGAACAACAUGCUUGCGGUGACUUUCCAAGAAAAUCCAUGAGUUGCGUUUUAAAACAGCAACAACAUUUUUCUCAGAGAGCAUACUCCUGAGGAAGUUAUAAGUGGGCAAAAUCCGAUUUCUCAAGCUGGCUGCCAAAAGCUGUGGAUUAAAAGUCAGAGUUUUUAUAAGGUCCACCUUUGAAAUUUCAAGAGAGCUGAAAAACUCAAGCUUUGGCAAAAGGGUUUUCUCAGGAUCAGCUGAAAGAAGUUUUGGAUGUGACCUAAUAAGCUUUGAUAUCUGGGUUUGAGAUGCUCCAUAGUUUCUCAGAAGCUCUAAAACGGAGUCUGCUCUUUCUGGUGACUUCAACUCGACCCGCUUACAAGCUGAAAUCGCUCCUUCUGGGGACAACCCGCAAGUGUUUAUGAGGUAAGUGACUGUGAAAUUGUGUUGGUUUUCUGAGAUUUCUGACGUGAUGCGUCUGCAGAUCAACUGACUCUGAAGAGAAAAAUGUGAGGGUUUUGGAUCUCCAACCAACACUCUGUUUGUUUUGGAAGCAAAUGUACAAGAAAAUAUUGAGUGAACCAAUCUGAAGGUCUUCAAAUUGCAGAGUUGAAUCAUGUUAGAGGUUGAUGAUGAACAAUUUCUACAGGAAAACUUAAAGCCCUAGCUGAUUCUCUGCCUUCAGAAAAUAUGCAGUUCUCGGCAUUCUAAAAAGAUCUGAACCAUCCAAAUAAAAUUGCCUGGUAUAGGAUAAACCAUUGCAGCUAGGGUAAGUUUUCUUACCAUUUUCACAACUGACGGUCACUGGCUUACUGCUGCUAUCCAUGGCGGUAGGAAAUAUUCUGCCAGAAAAACCUCUUCAGUCUUCAUAGGUACAAAUCAAAGCAAAGCAAUUACUCCAAUCCCAGGCAAUAAGAAAACCCAAAAAAAGGGGUUGAAUUUCGAACUUAAAAACAGUCGAGGGCAUUUGUUUCUUUGGGACAAAGGGCGAAGAACAUUUGGGCGAUGAUGCUUUGGUUUAUAGACGCUCGACGUGGUUACUCUCAGGUGCGGCCCAGAAGCAAUUUGAAAGCCUCUUCUUGCAAUUGGAAUUUGGAUGUAUGAGUUAUUUACAUUUUACUGUGUGUUGUCAAAAUGCUUGAGGUUUUGAAAAUUACACCAACUUCUCCUGAAGUCUCAAAUUAUUCUCAUUAAAUCCGAUUUUGUUAAUUUUUCGUACAAAAGUUAAUGAUUUUAUAUAUAAUAAAGCUUACGCAAAUAACAAAUUUAAUUUCGGUUUGAUUAAAAGAAUAGCUUGUAAAAGGCUUGAAACUUAAGUGGUUAAGAGGAUAUAAUCCCGUCCUAAGUUCAAUUCCCUUCUACCGAAUUUCGCCUAUAAAAAUCGAAGUACUAAAUUUUUUAUUAUUUGAAGACAUUUUUUUAUAUAAAAUCAUCAAUUAUAGAAGGAAAAAUCAAUGGAAAAAGGUUUCGAGAAAAUAAUUUAAUACUUUAUGGAGUAUUUGUGUAAUUUUUGGAACUACAAAGGGUUUAGUAAAAGCACAAGUUUUAGUGUAAAUAACUCUGAAAUGUAUCCCCAUAAAAAAAAUUAUAAAAAAUUAAAAAAUUAAAAAAACUAUGAAAUGUAUAGUACAGUCCCGAUCUCUUGGACCACAGGAGUCCAAGAGAUUGUGGUCACCCACCGUUGGAUAUUAAUCCAAUGGUUCAAAAUGAUAUAUAUAAAUGCAAUAUGACAUAAAUGAUUAUUACCCGAUUCAAGUCAACCGUUGAAUUUACAUCUAACGGUGAGUGACCAUAACUCUCUUGGACUACAGGGGUCCAAGAGAUCAGGACUGAUGUAUAGUAUACCCGUAAGAUUUUAUUCUUCUAUUUUUGUACAUUAAAUACUUGUUUAUCCUUUUUAUAUUUGAAUCUGUUGAGUAAAUUGCCUCAUUAAUUUUUUAUUAACUUUUUUUAAUGUGAGCGUGUCAUUGUUAGCAAAUAAUACCCUAUGAAUUUGAAUGACUUUAUACACUUGAGCCCCAAGUAAUAGACUUUAAACAAACGAUUGUGAUUUUGGAUGGGGGAACCUCCUAAGAGAGUUCUUUUCUAUCCCUCAGACUGGUGAGGACUUCACAAUUUAUCUAGACAAAAAUGGUAAGUAAAGCAAAAUACAUAAUUUGUGGUGAAUAUAACAGACUAAUCCAAGCAGAACUGCCUUAAGCACAAAGCAUAAAAUGAAUUGCUAAAUCUAGACGGGUGUCAAAUUGUUGUACUUUGACUUCUACUUAAAAAUACAAUCAAAAUGAUGUUUUAAGGUCAGGCUGGACUGGAUAUUUCUGCACUGAAAUUGCACGUCAAUAUCUUCAACAAACAUAGAUUAGUUGGAAAUCAAUACCAAUGUUGGUAUUGGCAGAGCUAUAAACAAGUUGAGCCAAUAUGUAGGCUGGAAAAGUGAGCAGAACUACAGGCAAGUACCUGUUCUAGUUGGUUGUGUAUGAUGUGGAAGAUUUCUAGACAAUUUUAAGACAUUGAGGUAUCUUUAUAAACUUGUUGAGGUUUUCAUAUGAUGAAAGACCUGACUUCUAUUUGUGUUAUCUUAUUUGCUUUGUAACACCCCGACUCCAAAAUUAAUGUCUAUUUUAAUUGAUUUAAAUUAAAUUACGAAUUUACCCUUGGGGUAGGGGUAAAUUGGUCAUUUUCUUAUCCGGAAGGAUUUUGGGACCACGAAUGGUAUUUUUGGGUAUGUGGUACUGAGACGAAUUCGUAAACACGCGGUAGGCUUGAAUCGGAGCUGUAACGAAAAUGUUACGAUCAAAACAUUAUCAGUGGCAAACUUGUAAAUAUUUCAAAAAAGUUUGAUAAAAAUCAGAUUUUUUCACUUCAGCUCUCUCUCUCUCUCCUCGCACGCACUCGACUCUCUCUCUCCUCAGUCUCUCUCUCUCCCCGACACCAACACACUCUCUCUCUUCGGUUCUCUCUGCACCGGCCACGGCCAGGCACGCCACCAGUCCCGAUCGAUUCGCCUCGAUGUCCCGAUCAAGUCUAGCCGAUUUUCCCCAUCGGAAACCACGAACUCCGGCCACGAGCUCGACUGGUUUGAACCAGAGCUUUCCGAUCGUCGCGCCGCCUCCUCCGCCGCCCAAACCUGGUGAGUGAGGUAUGGUUUCUCAUCCUUUUUCCGAGUUCUAGCUGAUUGUUGUAUAGGUUUGGACCGAUUUGUUGUCUAGAAAAUCGAUUAGAAAACUUAGGUUUUGGCCGGAUUUCAAAGUAAAAUUCCGGCCAGUUGCCGCCCGAAUUGGACCUUCCCUUAGUUGAAUGAAGUGAUCCUGACCUUGAGUAAAAGCUAGGAUAUGAAGGGUGAGCUCGGGUGGAGUUUUUCCGUUAUCGGAAUUACUCUGCACACCCACGAGCUGCCGGCGCCUGUGGCUGCGCGUGGGCGAGGCUGGUAAAGAUGCAAUUUUACCCGAUGAGAUCCUUAUGUUGUCACGAGCGUAUAGAAAUUCACGGAUCUCAAUUCGGAUGUCGUUUGGCUAUCGAACGAAUUUUCGCAUAUUGUGAGUUAUUGGGUUCGAUAGGUUCCGACCAUUGGAUCUUUUUCAAAUUAAAAUAUGUUGUUCUAGGUAUUCCUAGGACCGUAUGGGACUUCACGGAUUAUGAAUCGGGGCCCUGGAUGUUUCGAUUCAAUAAUGCAAAGUUGGCUGGUUAGCGAUAACCGUAAAAAUCGUGAACGAUUCCUAAACCUGUAAUAGGACCUUAGGAUACCUUCUUCAACGUGCACGUAUUGGGAAUUUGGGGAUUUAAGCAUUUAAUUUGUGAUUUCCACUUCGAUGUAAUUUUAUAUUAAUUAAGGUUCGUAUCUCGAAAUAGGUGUUUCGACUGCACGUACUCAGCAAGCAGGACCCUCACGUGGUCAGGCAGCGUGGGAAUAUUUGUGAGUGGACUUUGUUUUCAAUCAAUGCAUGGUUUUAUUGAUGAAGGAUUUUUGCAUAAUGUUUUUAUGGCUUAUUGAAUAUAUUAUAUUCAUGAGAUGAAUUUGAUGUUGUAUAGCGCGUUGGCAAUAUAUUGUGAGUUUGGCAUUUUGGGUAUUGAGAGUGUAUUUUUAUAAGGGUUGUGGGGAAGUAUAUGUAUAUUAUUCUCUAUAGACGAGAUACUUGGGUUGUUGAAGGGUGUUGUGGAAGAACUUGAUUAUGAUGGGUUGUUGAGAGAAGUUGUAUGAUUAUACUAUGUAAGUACCUUCCCCAAGUAUUAGACUUUUCACACGCGGCGUUGGAUGUUCCGGCGUGUAGGAAGAAUAGGUUACCCGUCUCACUCGUGGCGUUGGAUGUUCCGGCGUGUGAGACACUUUCCAUAUGCGGCGUUGGAUGUUCCAGCGUAUGGAAAGACUCUGUAUAGUGUUUAGGGUCAUCACCCAUGGCGUUGGAUGUUCCGGUGUGUGAUGAUCCAGUCUGCGCACGUAGGACUUAGUUUGGGAGCCACACAUGGCGUUGGAUGUUCCGGUGUGGGAGCUUUAGAGUUUCGUCCCCCGGUUGGACCGCUCAUCCCUAGACGCAGGAUAGCACCUGGAAAUCCUGCGAACUAGUCAAACGAUUCCCUAGUUGGAUUGCUUCCCCGGUACCUAGGUAGUGUGAUGAGUAUAUCGUAUAGCUAGUUAUAGUUAUAUUCUUAUAUAUAUAUAUAUAUAUUUAUAUUUAUAUGUAUAUGUAUAGUUGAGUGAGUGAAGAAUUAGAGUUUUUCAGUGGUUUGGCAAGAGUUGUAAAAUUGAGAGAAUGAGGUUUUUGAAGGAGAUGAUUUGUAUUAUGAAGAGUUUUAAAUGAAUCAUGUUUUGAGUAAUUAAUUUGAAUUGUGAACCUGCAUGACUAGAGCAUUAUUUUUACAUGGUGGGGUUAUUAUAUUAUUUUUAACUGCGAAUUUGGUUUUUGUCCACUCACAUGUUUUCUGUUUUGCGCCCCCCAGCCAGUAGUCGCUCUAGGAAGCGUGCAAGUGGUGUUCGAGGCUCGAACUGUGAAUCUUCCUAGUUAGGAAUUGAGUAAUUUCUUCUACUCAACUGUUCUUGUAAUCUAAAUUCAAUAGAUGCUCUAUUAUCGCCCAUGGUAGAUUUUACUUGUGAGGCCGGAGGCCAUUUUAGUAUGACUUGUUGAAUUAUGAAAGCAUGCUGCUGGUUGGGAUUUUUAUUUGAUGUGCGUUGCAGGUUGAAAUUUUUUGUUAGGUUUGCUUAAAUUACAGGGGAGACUCUGCCAAAAUUUUUGGUAGAAAGUCUCGAUUUCUUAGUAAGUGGGCCCGGCAUCGGGAAGAUGUCGGAACAAAGACGGGGUCCGCUUCGGUUUCCAGGAAAUUCCGGGGCAGGUCCUGUCAUGCUGAACCAAAUUUGUAAGAGAAUUCAAUCCAUUAUAAGUUAUGAUUGAAAUACAUUGUUAUAUUGCAAAAAGAAUCUCGUCUUCUUUUUGGCUGUCUGAGAUUUUGUUUGAGUUGGGUUGCUUCCUAUAGAAGAUUGCUUGCUUGCCUUUGAUAAUUGCAAGAUCAUUUGAUCUUUGAUUUCUUUUGAUCAGUCUAGACUGAUUGUUGAGUUUUUGUUUGAUUGGUUGGUUGGUUGGUUGGGUCCCCUCUCCAAUCCAUGCAUUCUUGUAUUUAUAAGAGAAAAAUGAUGAUGAAGAUUGUUAAGCUCAUAAUUUCAUGCAUAUACAUGCCCUAUUUACUCACUCAUUUUGCUUAGUUUCUUAGAAUUUUAGGCCAAUAGAGCGAAAGAGAAUAAUUCAUGCAAUUCAAGCAUGUUAAGGCCAGAUUGGGAUGAAUGGAAGAAGAGCUUAAAGACAAACUCAUUUUGGCUACAGGCCCUCGCCAGUCCAAUUUCGUAAGUCACAUUGCAAGACUUGUUUCAGCAAACUACACAACUCAAAUGAGGCAUACUUCUGCAUGAAAGUUGUUCCAAUGGUUGUCUAUUAUAACAUAUCCAAAAUUCAGCCCUAUUUGAUAAAUCUGGAGUCCGUCACCUAUCAAACACAGAACCAUGCUCAGGAUGGAUUUUGUCAACGUGCCAAAUGACAUGUGGCUGAAAAGAAGACAUUCUGAACUUCAAGUUUGUGGGCUCAAAGUCAUCAUUUGCUUAAGGGUAGCCCAAUUCGUAAGCCUUGAAGUUGCUGGUCAUGCUAACCUAAGGAUGAGCUAAGUGUGCUUGGUCAUAAUGACAUAAGCAUGAGGUGUUAUUGAUUGUGGGGAAGUUAGGUGAAGCAUAUGCAUUUCUUAUAUUUGAGUGGAGUUUUGCAGCAGCCAAAGGGAAUAAAACAAGAUGAAGUGGGAGCUGCAAUACUAAGCCUAAAGAGAAGAAGAACUGUUUUCAAAUGCAAGUGUGUUUUAGGUGAAAUAGGUGUGGUUAGUGAACUUACUUGUAUAAUCUGAUUCACUUAACCCUUAUACCUAUAAAUAGAGAGUCUCCAAAGAGCUAUGUAGUCAAGAAAAUUCAAAUCCAUCAUUUACACUUACAUUGUACACAAAGAGAGGAAGAGUUAAGAGUCACAAAGGGAGAGAAGAGAAAAGGCAGCAGCUGGGAGGCUUUGGCCUCCUGGCAGCCAUGGAGAUAAAGCUUUUCCAUCUCUAGCAUGAUGUCCCUAUCUUUUUCUCCUCCCUUUGUCUUUUAUUUUCUUCUUGUAUUUCCUUAGCUUUACUUUGUUUUUCUGUCAUUAGUUAAUAAACAUCUUGCUAGUCUUGUAUCAUGGUUUGAGUUUAUAAAGUUUGAUUUCAUUCAUGAAUUCUUCUUCACUGUUUUAAUGGAGCUAUUUUGCAUCCUUUGAUUGAUCACCUGAGGAUUUAUGCAUUUUGCUCUUGUUGGUUGAUUGAUCACCUGAGGAUUUAUGCAUUUUGCUCUUGUUGGGAAGGUUUGGGGAUCAUCUUCAUUCCAUCCAUUAGCAACUCAUAUGAUUUGGUUUCCAGGACGCCUAAUGUAAACACAAUGCUUUGGGGUCCUUGUGAUGUUCAAUGCAAUUUGAUCCAAACUGUUUAGGCCAAAAUUCUACCCGUCAUCCCAUUUUUGUCGAGAGGCCCAUGAACCAAACAUUUGGGCUUUCAUCUAUAGGAAUCAUAAGGAAAAAAACCAAGACACUAGAAAAGCCCAGAUCCUUUUGAACAAAUUACAAAAGCAGCCAUGAUCUGAAAAGAAUAAACUACUAUUAUUUACAAUUAAAGAGCCGAUACACACAGUGUUGGAUAAAUGCCCAACUUCUGAGAAGAUCUCACCACUUGGUCUCUAUCCCAAAAAGCCAAAACAGCAUAUCUUUUUCUCAAGGAAGCGCCAGCGUGAAUUUCUGACUUUGAAAAAGUCAAAAUUUUCAACUAUCACAGAGGAGUUGAUAAGGAGUUAAUGAAGGCAGGUUUUACAGGAAGACUUCUCCAUUGUUUGCAGCCAAAGAAAGAAGAUCAAAAUCCCUUUUUAUAAACAGAGAAACUCUACACUAAAGCAGGUGACCUUUCCAAGAGAUAAGCAGACUACAUUCUCAAGAGAUAAGUAGGGAGCAAGGGAGUUGUUCAACAGGAAAAGCAAACUGACCAUCAUGACAAAUUGUGUAAUAACCCAAACCUUAAUUAAUAUUUAAUUAUUAUUUUAUUAGAAGGAAAUACAAUUUUGCCCUUGGAAUAAUUUAUUAAAGAAAAGUUAACUUUUUGACAGAGAAAGAAUUUGACAAUUCCACACACACCGUUGCGUAAAGCGCGACGAAAUGAGUCCGUAGACACGUAGCAAGCUUAAAUCGGAGCUUUAACGAAGAAAAUAUGGUCAAAAUACGUAGAGGGGCAAAAUGAUAAUUUGCAAAGUCAGAAUUUUAAAACCCCAAUUCUCUCUCUAUCACGAUCUCUUCUUCCCCUGGUUCGAAAACCCCCCAGCCGAACCUCCAUAACUACCCAGCCACUGCCACACCUCGCCCCGACCCACCAGACUGGACCUAAUCGCACCAGCGUCAGCUCCGCCGCCAAGCCCGACCUUCCCUGCCACUCGGCUGUCACGGUUUCGUAGGAAAAAUUGAAAAUUUCAUCCGGUUUAGUUUGAAAUUUCACAGCCGUCGAUCUCCGUAUUCUGACCACCAAAUUGGACGAUAAAGGUAUGGACCCUUACCUAUUUUUCAUGACUUAGCUGUUGGUUGGGUAGGAUUGAACGAUUUCUAGCCUAGGUAGAUCAAACCACAAUCCAAAGCUCGGUCGGUUUUGAGAUUGAAAUUUCGGCCACUUUCGGCUAGUUUUUGGGGUACGUCCAAGAACAAAAGUGGUUCCAAAUAGGUUGUUUUACAUAGAGUAGGAGUUUGGGCCGGUGGUUUGGAGUUUUUCCGACUGCCAGAAAUUUAUCAAGCCACCCACUCACUGCCGGCGCGUGUGGCGGAGCGUGGGCAGUUUAGUGGAGACCACAUUCAGUCCUAGAAUGAUCCUCGUGUUGUCAUGAGCGCGUAGGAAUUCGCAGAUCUCAAUUCGGAUACCGUUUGAGCCUCGAACGGAUUUUGCAUAUUGUAUGAUUUCCGGGUUCAAUACAAUUGAGCCGUUGGAUCGUAAUCAUUUUCAGAUAUCUUAAUCUACACAAUUCCAGGAUCGUUUAGGAUUUGACGGAUCGUGAAUCGGAGUUCCCAAUACUCCAAAAUCGCGAACCCUAGGGCUAGGGUUUUAGAAAUCAUUCGAUUGUAUGAUCGUGAUCAAUCCGACCGUCCGAUCGAGAUCAAACUCUCAGGACAUGUGUCCUGGGUAUAUUGGAACUUCUAGAGGCUUAUGGAUCAUAAUUUUGUGGUCGAACGUGCACAGGGUCUGGCUCGGAUUCCAAAAUGGAAUUUGGGUCGGGUCCUAUCCAAUUGUGUCUUUCCUUCUUUACAAGGAACAAAUAGAGAACAAAAGGAGUUGAUUUUCUUUUUGGGAAAAGCAAGGAAAAGAUCACCAUGGGAACUUAUUAUUGAUGGUUCUUCUCUGCCAGAAUAGAUAGCUUCCCCUUUUUGUGGCAUUUAAAAAGAAAGAUCUUUUGAAAAGAUUUGCCGUCCAUUAUUCAAAGAUUAAAAACCUUACUCCAGCAUUUCCUAUAAAAUAAGAGAGAGGGUGAACAGAUGAAGGACAGCCUAAAAAUCAAUCAAGAUAAAAACUCUCAAAGUCAUAACUGACAAACUCAAAAUGAUCAAUUGAUCUUAAAAGCCUUCAAACACUGAAGUGACCAAAGCUCAUCGAGCCACAAGAAACAAAUCAACUAUAAUUCAAAUCUCUGUUUUCGGUUCAGUCAGAGAAACUGUUUUACAAAGCGAGAUUUCUCUUGUUACAAAUUUGGUUCAGCACAAAGCCAAGUCAAGCAGAGUCAGGAUUUUUCACAAAUAUGAAAACCUCAACAAAUUUACAGAAAGCCUUGGUCAAGCAGGACAGGCACCAUAGUGCAGUUCCAGCUCAGUGACCAUCAAUCGAGCCACUUUUGUUCUCUUCAGACUGGAGAUGCCUCAAUUCAACCCUUUCAACAAGCCUUCCAUGGCUCGAAAUAAAUUGAAGCUCUGCCAAACUCAAAUGUCGGUAUCCAUUUCCAGCUAAAACUCAUCAGUUGAAGGUGUUGACGAUCCAAUCCAACACAGACACAUCCAAUCCAGCCCAGUUCAGAAGCAGCUACCCAGGCAGAAAUUGAAGUCGAACGCUCUGCUGUCUAUUCUGGAGUUGGCUUUUUCUCUUUCUGAGCUUUGUAAUGAGCAGUUCUGCCUAAACAGUUUACUUUCUUUUCAUUUAUUCUGGCCAAAACUACCAAUUUUGUACUGUGAAAAAUUAUGAAGUUCUCACCAGUCUGAGGCGAGAAAAGAACUUAUUUGAGAGAUAUUCCUCACCCAAAUUCACAAUUGCUUGUUUAAAAGUCAGUAACUUGGGGCGCAAGUUAUCUAUUUUUUAGAAGUCUGCUAGGGUUUUGAACUGCUAGCAGUGGCACGCUCACGCACAAAAGAAAGUUGAUUUGUUAACCACUAAUGGUUGUCAAGCCAAUGGGGAACUUUACCAUACCAUCACAGGAUUAAAAUCAAAACGGGUGAACACAAACACCAUGGACUUAUUUGUGAGGAUCGUCAUGAUUGAAUCAAUUUUUUUACUUGCUGCCAUAACGUGAUUAGAACAAUUAGGGUGGAUUCUAAAACCUCACCAUCUUGUCUUAGUUCUUUUCUUUCUUCUUCUUUUGUGUUCUUUUGUGUUCUUUUGUUUUCAUUUCUGUUUUGUGUAGGAAAACUGAAUUGGAUCAUUCAAUCAUCAAUCCCUGUGAAAUUGACCUUGCACUUACAUAUGCUAAACUACCAACGACUCGUGCACUUGCGAGUAUCACAAGUUGAGGAUGCAGCUGAAUCCAUUAUGGUGCAGCGUUGAAUCGACGCAACAAAGAUAUGGAUUUUUUUUUUUAAAAUUUUGGACUAGCCCCCAUUUCAUGCAAAAGUGGCAAAAGUUUUGUCAUUCCAAUGCAUUGAUCGUUUUUGGCACCUGCUCAUCAAUACUCCUGAAUGUCUCCUAAUCAUUCCUUUUGCAACAACUAGACUGAAGCAAGCAAUAAUUUCUAGAUUCCUCCAAUGUUGGUACCAUAAAUAACCAAAUACUCUUGGAAAAGAAAAAAUCCGAUGAUCAUAUAAUAAAUAGCCGUGAUUCUCAAGCAAGUCUAACUUUUACUUUUCAACUUUUAAGGUCAUCAAUUUUCCUUGUAGUUUAGUCACGAACGAUGAGGAAAUAUCCUUAAAAACUUUAACAGCUAAGAAAUUGUGAAUUUUGGACUGAAACUAAUUGAAAUAAUUUGAUUCUUGGAUUAAAUCACCACUUGUGGUAAUUCAUUUACCAAUUUAUCAAAAAAUCAUGAAUUAGUUAAAUCCCCCUUUGGCUAAAUAGUAAGGACUAGUCACCAUUUUUGAUAAACACAGCCCAACGUUUUGUAAAAUGAACCCAAUAAACCAUUUUGGCUAGCUCGUAGGAUUUAAGCCCAAACAAUACCUGUUCGGCUAGAAUUUUAAAAAAAACAAAUUAUUUUAUUAUUAUUCUAUUUUUGAUAAGAUUCUAGAAAUUUGUCUAAUCUCAUACCGGAUGUUUUGGGGGCACUUUUUUAUGCCAUGCGUUCUCUGAUGUGCAUUCAGGGGCUUAAUAAAAUAGUCUCACUUCGUCAUCUUUUUAUCGCACAAACACGUAUUUGCACAUCAAAAUUCAACACUUCGGUAUUUCUCUUCCAAUUUCAACCAUAAUUAGUAUUGUCUCAAAAUGACUUCAAACAUGACUCCAAAAGGCAUCGAUGCAUAGUGACUUGGAACACAAUCCUAAAACGUGUUAGUUGCUUGAUCCGAUCAUCAAUUUCAUUCAGAGUGACGAUUUUUUUUUUUUUCAACAACUCUUCUACAACAUUUGACCAUUUUUUUCUUGUUGAAAGUGACAAGUUUUGUCGACUUACAAAAAAAACUAUGCCAAAAUGGUAAUACUAAAGUCCUUAUCUAACCCCUAUAUCUCUUCAAUUGAGAGAUUUUUGGGGUUGACCCUUGUAGGAAGCAAGUGUUGGGUUCUUCAAAGACUAGGUAGAUAGAUAAUUCAAAAUUUUACCCAAUUUCUUAGGAUUUGGAUUUCAGCAAAGUGUUUGAUAGCAUUCUUGCCCUCCACGAAUGCUGGUCUAAAGAAUUUUAAUCGGGGGAAAGAAAACCCACACUCCAACAAAUAUUGUGUUUGAACAUUAAAGACUAAAAAAAUGUGUUUUAGCUAUAAUAUAGAAGAAGCCAGAGAAAAAAAAUUUAGCCCAGCCCUAUAUAAAUUCCUUUAUUCCGCCCUUGUUUGGGUGGGAUGAGAAAAUUUGUGUUUGAAAGGGGGAAUGGAGGAAGGGCCUGUAAAGAGGGAAGGGGGAUUGGAUUUCAAGGUGAGCGGGGUUAGUUGGAGCCACCGGAGGUGCACAGAUGAUGGGGUAAGGUGAUAUUUUUUUUAUUUUCAAUUUUAUUUUUUUAUAAUGAAUUUUCUAUUUUUAAAAUACCCUUGAAAAUGGAAAGACUAAAAUACCCUUAAAUAUAGAUGGAAAGUUGGUGUUAAAGUGAGAUGACAAAUCAUGAAUUUUGAAAAAUUAAGAUGUCAUUUCUCUUAAUUUUUUCUUUAAAAUGACAACUUGAUUUCAAGAUAUAAGUUCAUGUGACAUUUUAAAAAAUAAUAAUAAUAAAUUGCAUAACAUCAGAUUUUUUUUUUUUUUAUUUAAUGCAAAAAAAGGGAAAUUACAAGCAAAAAUCACGCGAACACGCAGUCCCAAACAAGUUGAAAAAGAAAGGAAUCGGACAAUUCAAAGGCAGACCCGCAUCCCAUAACUCUAUGACUAUUGCACCAAGUAAAAGGAAUGCCAGCAGCACAAGAGAAAUAAUUUCACCAUCAUUAAUAAAGCCAUUAAAAUCUGCCAAAGCAGACAUCAAAUGAGUGUAACCACCUAAUUUCUCACUAGGGGCGCAUAUAUUAUUAAAGUCCCCCAUAAGAAUCCAAGCUUCAGAAGCCGCAUGUUUGAGGCCAAGGAUAUCAAUCCACAGCUGAUGUUGUUUUUGUUUCUAGGGAUAAGCAUAGACAAAAGUAGCUUUCCAAUUUUUUUGGUCAAUAAGAUCUUGAAUGUGGCAGUGAAUGAAACGCUCAUGGGAAUCUAAAAUGGUUAUAUUAAUAAAAGAAGGAUUCCACAAUAAGAAUAUCCAUCCACAAUGACCAAGGGCAUGGAUACAAAAGAAACCAUCAAAACCAAGCCUCUGAGCAAUAACCUCAGCUCAACCCUAGAGGCUCUGGAAUCCAAAAUAUAGAAAACAUUCAAACUAGACGUACUAAUAUAAAAAAGGGCUUGCAAAAUAAAGCCAGGCCAACCACUGCCUUGGCUAUUCCAGAAUAACAUCUUCAUGGAUUGGGGCUAGGGGUGUUACCAACCAAGGGUUCAGUCUCCCUCAGAUACUCUCCAUGCAUCUCAACACUUGGAGCAUAAUUCUCUUCCACUUCCACCUCAUCACGAGUUCUCUUCUUAGGACUCUUGUAAGCGAAACCAGUGAAGGCACUGCUGCCUUCUUGGGAAUGAGCAGGGGCAAUCACAACAGCCCUACCCUUCCCCUUGCUAAUAUGGUCAACUGGAGAAAACUUAACCCCAACAUCACGAGACCCACCUCCUUCAGUAAAUUUGAUUCCCUUAGCAACUUCUUUAAAAGUUCUCCUAUCCCUUUCUUGCAUUUUGGCUUUGCCUUUACGGUUAGCCACAACCGUCCACCCUGGGUCCUAUACCUCAGUGGGCACCUUCUCACCCUGGUCAGAAUUUUCCUCUGCAAAAUAGUCCACAGUUAUAGGCUGUGGGAACACCAGUAUGACAUCAUCAGCUAGUUUUUGUUGCUCUUCAAACUCAAGGACUCAUUCCCUAAGGAACACAUUAGGUUCGUUCUCUAAUAUUUCAACCUGCAUGGCCACAUAUCUUUCCGGCUAAGGAGUGGGAAACCUUUCUCUUGUUACAUGAAUCCAAUUUUCAUUUCACCUGGGAAAAGCCAUCAGAAAGCUUUUGUUUGAAAUUUUGAUAGGGCAAAUGUGAUCGCGCUCCAUCUUCUGGCUACAAUAGAAACAGAUCGCAAAAAGGGCUUCAUAGCUAACAAAUAUUAUGGUUUCCUGGGGAUGCUCACCCAGAACUAGGCAUCUUUUUAGGGGCCUAGUUAGGUCUAACACAAGGUGAGCUCUAACAAACAUAAUCUGUUUACCCUCUGUAGACUGCAGGUCCACACUAAUAGGAUCUCCAAGGAUAGAGACCAAAUCAUAGAGAACCUCAGGGUCUUUGUAAUGGAGGGGCAGAAAGGGAAUUCUGACCCAGCCCACAAUGGAUGUCACAACAGCAUAAAAGGGUGAGAAAUCUGGGGUCCAGCGCUGCAGGUUAAAAAUCUGACCUUGGACAAACCAGGGUCUGUUAUCCAAAACGAAAAAAACAUCAACUUCAGCAUUGAACUCCACCUUAUACCAGUCUCGACCAAUAUGGUCAAUAGAGACCUCACCCUGCAGGUUCUUCCACUCACUCUUGAGCCUAUGCCUGAUAACUCUGCUAUUCACAGGAACUCCAAAGACUUUCCCUACCAAGCAGAAAGUCUCAUUGAGUUUGGACACUAGACGCAAGAGCAGAGGUGGAGACUUUGGUUUCAUUUCUUUCAAUCCUAAAGGUAAAUAUGCCCUUGUGUAACACAGAGGGUUCCACAGAAGACCUACUCCCCAAUCUGGGAGAAGACGUCGGACUCAAACUACGGGAUUUCGCCCGUGAAGAGCUAGCAUUAAGUUGAGCACUCAUGGUUGGAUGAGAGGAAAGUGAGCAAGGGCAACAGGUAUUAAGAGGAAAUUUAGAAGGUGAGAGUACGCGGUGGAGAUAUCUGGUUUUAAUUUUCUUAUAAAUAGCCAGUAUGAAGCUCUCAAAAUGAUUACAAACAUAUCCAAACCUCCAAUGCAUGCAAAGAUGAAGAAAGGGGAAAGAAGUUAUCUGACCAGAGUUGCUAAAAUCAGCAUCGAGCACCUCCCAAAUCAUCAGCAUCAAAAGGGGUUUCCAAUUUCUGGGGUAAUGAUUUAGUCUGAGACGAUCCUGGCCAUUAGAUUGAAAAAAGAAUGCAAGAUUAGAGUGAAUGAAAUUAAUGCAAGAUAGAGGACGAAGCAAAUUGCAAAAAUUGCACUUCCCAAAGGGAGUUCAUCAGCUGAUGCAUCGUAAAUCUCAAACGACUUCUUUUUAGCGCCACCUUGUGGUUUGGAUGAUGGAUCAACAAUCAUUUCGCAACCCAAUCACGGCAAAAGCUUUGGGGAGAAGAACCGAUUCAAAGUCUUCCCAAUACAAACAACCAUAGCUUCAGACCAACUUUUAGAUGUAAUAAUUGAACCCGCAAGCUUCACUUGAUCAUCCCUUUGAGCUUUUUGUCUUGCCUUUUUCUUCCUUCUUUUCCAAUUUCCCACCCUCUCAAGGACUGCCCUAAUCCCCUUUUUGCUCUCGUUCUUCAUUUUUCUGAAUUAAUUCAAUCAAUUCAAAAAAUUCAUUUCCAGGCACUUAUUUUUUCAUGGCUUGGGGGGCAAUGAACUAAGAAUCAAUCCUUGAAAACUAUAAACCAAGUAAAGAAUAAACAAGGCCUCUUUUUAUAUUUUGGCGAACGAAGAGAAGUACAUUGAACAUAAAUUUAUUCCAAAAAAACAGUGAAAUUGUUCCUUGACCUCCCUCUUGAGAUCCACACAUCUUUGCACAUCUAUUAGUGCGGGAUAGAUUCAUCCUAAAGACAACAAUUGCCAAACCACCCUACUUUGCAACUCCAUCAGAGCCGAGUUUUAUGUCCCCUGAAUUCCCAAUUCCUUAAGCAUUGCAGAUAUCGCAUUCCUAAUCGUUAAGGUCUCGGUAAAAAAGCUAACACAAGAGAAGACAAUGAGAAAAUGAUGCUUAUCGAGUCCUUCGAUGCCAUGUUGACAUGAUUACAUAUGAAUCUAAUCAAUCAUUGACACUGAAGUAGUUCCUAUAAACCAACCGUGGCCGCUUAAGUAGGCUAGCUGCAUCUCAGAGGACAAUAACUCAAAGAGCAAGGGAUAAAGGAUUGAGAGUCAUUCUUAUCUUUUGAAAAAUGGACAGAAAUUAGCUUCUUCCACUCCUCAACCAAAAUACAAUACAUUGUACCCUAAUAGAAGCAUUAUAUGCGCACAUUCUACAAAAUCAACUUUCAAGGGUAACCAAAGUCGGGAACCAUAAACAGAAGAAAUUCUAGCGACUCUACGGCAGGCAUUUGUUCUAAUAAGAAAG
rnacentral:lncRNA from 1 species